rnacentral:rRNA from 1 species
UCAGAGUGGAUUAGUGGCGAACGGGUGAGUAACACGUGGGCAAUCUGCCCUUCACUCUGGGACAAGCCCUGGAAACGGGGUCUAAUACCGGAUAACACUCUGUCCCGCAUGGGACGGGGUUAAAAGCUCCGGCGGUGAAGGAUGAGCCCGCGGCCUAUCAGCUUGUUGGUGGGGUAAUGGCCUACCAAGGCGACGACGGGUAGCCGGCCUGAGAGGGCGACCGGCCACACUGGGACUGAGACACGGCCCAGACUCCUACGGGAGGCAGCAGUGGGGAAUAUUGCACAAUGGGCGAAAGCCUGAUGCAGCGACGCCGCGUGAGGGAUGACGGCCUUCGGGUUGUAAACCUCUUUCAGCAGGGAAGAAGCGAAAGUGACGGUACCUGCAGAAGAAGCGCCGGCUAACUACGUGCCAGCAGCCGCGGUAAUACGUAGGGCGCAAGCGUUGUCCGGAAUUAUUGGGCGUAAAGAGCUCGUAGGCGGCUUGUCACGUCGGAUGUGAAAGCCCGGGGCUUAACCCCGGGUCUGCAUUCGAUACGGGCUAGCUAGAGUGUGGUAGGGGAGAUCGGAAUUCCUGGUGUAGCGGUGAAAUGCGCAGAUAUCAGGAGGAACACCGGUGGCGAAGGCGGAUCUCUGGGCCAUUACUGACGCUGAGGAGCGAAAGCGUGGGGAGCGAACAGGAUUAGAUACCCUGGUAGUCCACGCCGUAAACGUUGGGAACUAGGUGUUGGCGACAUUCCACGUCGUCGGUGCCGCAGCUAACGCAUUAAGUUCCCCGCCUGGGGAGUACUGCGCAGCUAAACUCAAGGAAUUGACGGGGGCCGCACAGCAGCGGAGCAUGUGGCUUAAUUC